UACGAAGGGAGCUAGCGUUGUUCGGAAUCACUGGGCGUAAAGCGCACGUAGGCGGACGUGUCAGUCAGGGGUGAAAUCCCGGAGCUCAACUUCGGAACUGCCUUUGAUACAGCACGUCUUGAGUCCGGAAGAGGUGGGUGGAAUUCCUAGUGUAGAGGUGAAAUUCGUAGAUAUUAGGAAAGAACACCGGUGGCGAAGGCGGCCCACUGGUCCGGUACUGACGCUGAGGUGCGAAAGCGUGGGGAGCAAACAGG
rnacentral:rRNA from 1 species